rnacentral:rRNA from 1 species
AUGCUCAUCCACUCUACCUAUACAUAUCUAUUCACAAGGACAGUUUCAGAGAUGUCUAAGGGCAGUGACAGUCAGAACAAGUCAAAGCAGCAGGUAAAGCUUAGUGAGGGCACUAGUCCCUCCGAUAACAGCUAUGAUGAAGAAAGCAGAAGCACUCCAAGAAACCUGCCUAAGGCCAUUGUUAGGCAAAGGAAGAAGAAAACCUCAGAUUUAGAGGAUGAGGAUUUUGCAGUUGAGGAGGUGACCUCAAAGAAGAAAGUGCUUAAGAAGGAAUAUGGUGCUGCUGCCUCCACCAAGCCUGGCAUGAAUAAGAAAGCUCCUACCAAGAGAGUUCCCAUGUCCAAAGUCAGAGCCUCCACUCAGGAAACUAUGGAGUUCACUCUUGAACCAAGAGAAGAAGAGGCUGCUGGAGGAAAGAAAAGGAAGGAAAGAGUCAAGAAGACUAUGGCCAGAGUUAUUGGCAAGCCUUCUAUGAUUAGAGAUUUUGAAGAAGAGGAGGAGGAAGAGCCUGUUGCACCUCCUGCAAAGACUCAAAAGCUUAUGGGGGAUGCCAUCAAGUCUAGGGCUACUCCAUCUAAGCCCAAGACAGCCCCCAAGCCCGCUACUGCCACCAAACCCCCUACAUCCAAGAGAUCCACUAGGAACAUCUCUGCUACUGAGAAGAACAAGGACCCAGUGCCAGAAGUUCAAGAAGAAGAAGAGCAACAAGUUCUCAAAAAAUUAAAGCCAAAGAUACCUGAUCAUGAUGAUAACCAUCCCAUUGCUGAGAACAUGAAGGAAAGAAAAAUGCAGGCCUCAGACUGUGGAGACAGUCUGAUCCCGAUGAUGUCAGGAGAAGGACUGCUGUUGACUAUCAUUUCCACACCAAGUAACAGCGGGACUUUUAUGAAACAGUGUUGCUGGACAAGAAACCCGUUGUAUGUGACAUGA